rnacentral:rRNA from 1 species
GGUUAAGCGACUAAGCGUACACGGUGGAUGCCCUGGCAGUCAGAGGCGAUGAAGGACGUGCUAAUCUGCGAUAAGCGUCGGUAAGGUGAUAUGAACCGUUAUAACCGGCGAUUUCCGAAUGGGGAAACCCAGUGUGAUUCGUCACACUAUCAUUAACUGAAUCCAUAGGUUAAUGAGGCGAACCGGGGGAACUGAAACAUCUAAGUACCCCGAGGAAAAGAAAUCAACCGAGAUUCCCCCAGUAGCGGCGAGCGAACGGGGAGCAGCCCAGAGCCUGAAUCAGUGUGUGUGUUAGUGGAAGCGUCUGGAAAGGCGCGCGAUACAGGGUGACAGCCCCGUACACAAAAAUGCACAUACUGUGAGCUCGAUGAGUAGGGCGGGACACGUGGUAUCCUGUCUGAAUAUGGGGGGACCAUCCUCCAAGGCUAAAUACUCCUGACUGACCGAUAGUGAACCAGUACCGUGAGGGAAAGGCGAAAAGAACCCCGGUGAGGGGAGUGAAAAAGAACCUGAAACCGUGUACGUACAAGCAGUGGGAGCCUCUUUAUGGGGUGACUGCGUACCUUUUGUAUAAUGGGUCAGCGACUUAUAUUCUGUAGCAAGGUUAACCGAAUAGGGGAGCCGAAGGGAAACCGAGUCUUAACUGGGCGUUAAGUUGCAGGGUAUAGACCCGAAACCCGGUGAUCUAGCCAUGGGCAGGUUGAAGGUUGGGUAACACUAACUGGAGGACCGAACCGACUAAUGUUGAAAAAUUAGCGGAUGACUUGUGGCUGGGGGUGAAAGGCCAAUCAAACCGGGAGAUAGCUGGUUCUCCCCGAAAGCUAUUUAGGUAGCGCCUCGUGAAUUCAUCUCCGGGGGUAGAGCACUGUUUCGGCAAGGGGGUCAUCCCGACUUACCAACCCGAUGCAAACUGCGAAUACCGGAGAAUGUUAUCACGGGAGACACACGGCGGGUGCUAACGUCCGUCGUGAAGAGGGAAACAACCCAGACCGCCAGCUAAGGUCCCAAAGUCAUGGUUAAGUGGGAAACGAUGUGGGAAGGCCCAGACAGCCAGGAUGUUGGCUUAGAAGCAGCCAUCAUUUAAAGAAAGCGUAAUAGCUCACUGGUCGAGUCGGCCUGCGCGGAAGAUGUAACGGGGCUAAACCAUGCACCGAAGCUGCGGCAGCGACACUAUGUGUUGUUGGGUAGGGGAGCGUUCUGUAAGCCUGCGAAGGUGUACUGUGAGGUAUGCUGGAGGUAUCAGAAGUGCGAAUGCUGACAUAAGUAACGAUAAAGCGGGUGAAAAGCCCGCUCGCCGGAAGACCAAGGGUUCCUGUCCAACGUUAAUCGGGGCAGGGUGAGUCGACCCCUAAGGCGAGGCCGAAAGGCGUAGUCGAUGGGAAACAGGUUAAUAUUCCUGUACUUGGUGUUACUGCGAAGGGGGGACGGAGAAGGCUAUGUUGGCCGGGCGACGGUUGUCCCGGUUUAAGCGUGUAGGCUGAUUUUCCAGGCAAAUCCGGAAAAUCAAGGCUGAGGCGUGAUGACGAGGCACUACGGUGCUGAAGCAACAAAUGCCCUGCUUCCAGGAAAAGCCUCUAAGCAUCAGGUAACAUCAAAUCGUACCCCAAACCGACACAGGUGGUCAGGUAGAGAAUACCAAGGCGCUUGAGAGAACUCGGGUGAAGGAACUAGGCAAAAUGGUGCCGUAACUUCGGGAGAAGGCACGCUGAUAUGUAGGUGAAGUCCCUCGCGGAUGGAGCUGAAAUCAGUCGAAGAUACCAGCUGGCUGCAACUGUUUAUUAAAAACACAGCACUGUGCAAACACGAAAGUGGACGUAUACGGUGUGACGCCUGCCCGGUGCCGGAAGGUUAAUUGAUGGGGUUAGCGGUAACGCGAAGCUCUUGAUCGAAGCCCCGGUAAACGGCGGCCGUAACUAUAACGGUCCUAAGGUAGCGAAAUUCCUUGUCGGGUAAGUUCCGACCUGCACGAAUGGCGUAAUGAUGGCCAGGCUGUCUCCACCCGAGACUCAGUGAAAUUGAACUCGCUGUGAAGAUGCAGUGUACCCGCGGCAAGACGGAAAGACCCCGUGAACCUUUACUAUAGCUUGACACUGAACAUUGAGCCUUGAUGUGUAGGAUAGGUGGGAGGCUUUGAAGUGUGGACGCCAGUCUGCAUGGAGCCGGCCUUGAAAUACCACCCUUUAAUGUUUGAUGUUCUAACGUUGGCCCCUGAUCGGGGUUGCGGACAGUGUCUGGUGGGUAGUUUGACUGGGGCGGUCUCCUCCUAAAGAGUAACGGAGGAGCACGAAGGUUGGCUAAUCCUGGUCGGACAUCAGGAGGUUAGUGCAAUGGCAUAAGCCAGCUUGACUGCGAGCGUGACGGCGCGAGCAGGUGCGAAAGCAGGUCAUAGUGAUCCGGUGGUUCUGAAUGGAAGGGCCAUCGCUCAACGGAUAAAAGGUACUCCGGGGAUAACAGGCUGAUACCGCCCAAGAGUUCAUAUCGACGGCGGUGUUUGGCACCUCGAUGUCGGCUCAUCACAUCCUGGGGCUGAAGUAGGUCCCAAGGGUAUGGCUGUUCGCCAUUUAAAGUGGUACGCGAGCUGGGUUUAGAACGUCGUGAGACAGUUCGGUCCCUAUCUGCCGUGGGCGCUGGAGAACUGAGGGGGGCUGCUCCUAGUACGAGAGGACCGGAGUGGACGCAUCACUGGUGUUCGGGUUGUCAUGCCAAUGGCACUGCCCGGUAGCUAAAUGCGGAAGAGAUAAGUGCUGAAAGCAUCUAAGCACGAAACUUGCCCCGAGAUGAGUUCUCCCUGACUCCUUGAGAGUCCUGAAGGAACGUUGAAGACGACGACGUUGAUAGGCCGGGUGUGUAAGCGCAGCGAUGCGUUGAGCUAACCGGUACUAAUGAACCGUGAGGCUUAACCUU